GGUCGGGUAGCGUGUAGUACAUACAACACCCAGCUUGCUGGGGAAAACUACAGGCCGUCUCUUUGCGGGUUUGAAGUGCCCGACAACCCUAUU
rfam:Serratia symbiotica str. Tucson genomic scaffold scaffold00333, whole genome shotgun sequence.